rnacentral:miRNA from 1 species
UAAAACUGAUAGUUGAAGUUGAGCUCAGUCUUUCGCGUGUAUCUGAAUCAUAGUUUGAUACAUACGAACGGGUGAGUUCCACUUUCAAACUUUCAAUUUU